UUUAACCUAAUAAGAGGUUAUAAAUACCUCCUUAGCUAUUGUAGUCGUAGCAGAGAAUUUUUAGAGGUUUGAAAACCCCUUUUUGGUUUCAUGAUGAAACCAUGGUGUGGACAAUUGAGGUUGAGGAGUCCCUCUCUUGUUACAUCGGGGAAU